AAGAAAUUAGUUUUCAGAUAUGUUUCAAAUAAUAUAAAUUUACUAAUAUUUAUAACAAAAUACAUGAAACUGAUAUUCAUUCUUUAAUAUGAUAUGCAUAGAAAUUAUGUUUUAUUUUAUUUUAAGUAAGACUCGGCCCGAGUUGACUUACAAGAUCCGAUUUUGGCCGAUGUUUACGGCGUUUCAUCGAUUCCGAGUAAUUAGGCGGAGUUGAAGAAAGUCGCCUCAGCAACCAACCUUGUAGUGACUACUCGGGGAGUGCUCGGCCUUGGAGACCUUGUUUUACAACCAUGGCAGAGGGUAAUAAUUUACAUCAAGAUAGUUGGUAAACGGGCAACAAGCUGCGCCGCUAUUAAUCCCCAACUGGACCUCACAAGUCAAACUAUUAAUCUCCAUCUACCUUGAUUGCUGGUAAUGGAUUAGUGGUUUAGAAAAGUAGUCAAGGUGUUAAUUGACCCAUUUUUUUGGUCAAUGGAUAAACAUUUAAGCAACUAGUUAAGGGUUCAAACUUUGUGCUGCUUAUUAGGAUUUAAACGACUAGUUUAGUUAUGUUCAAGAUUUGUUAUGACCCUCCUAUUGGGAUGACGAGUUUCGCCUCUAUAGACGAGGAAGUCAAAAUAAAUUACCAUGUUUUUUGGGGAUAGUAUACAAGAAAAUGACCCUUCAGAUGAGGAAGUCAAAAUAAAUGGUGAUGUUAUGGCCGACGACAACAGCGAUCUUUUAUACACAUGUUAUACUAGUGAUGAUUCUGAUUGAAUGAAUGGUUGAUGUUGCACAUGGACACGGGGGAGAUGGUGGGAGUCAGGACCCCAAUAGGAAUCCAAACACAAUCCAAAGCGUUGGCGAGUCUUCACAAGCCAAGAGAAAGCGUGGACGGGCGAAAAACGUAAAAUUAUUUAAAAAAAUGUGAAUAAAACCAGAGUGAGGUAUUACCCAUUUACUUUUCUGAUGAGGCAUGUCAGUAUGAGUUCACUGGACCGCAUUCCUCGGAUUUUAUAAGAUUUAUCUCCAACACUAUUGCAAGUGUAGUUCCUAUGCAUUUUAAAGAUUGGCAGAGUGUUCCACCUCAGUACAAAAAAGAGCCGUGUAUCCCUCACUUUUCGAUUACUUUAAUCUAAACAUGUAUAAAGAUGGCGACGCCAACCAGUGGGCAGGGAUUGAGCUCGGAAUCAUUGCCGAAUGUCCGAGUCGCUACAGAAGUCGAAAGAAUAGACUGAAAGAACAUUUUUUGAAAUAUGGAGGUUAUGACGAUGUUGAAAGAGCAAAGAGUUGCUGCCCAAAGAAUUAUAAACUGUGAAAGUGGGUUGACCUUAUUCAUACGGUGUUCUUGGAUCCUGCCUAUAUAAGAUGAUGCAAUGCAAAUAAAAGAAACAAAGAAAACCACUUUAAUACACUUAUUAUGUCUUUUUUUAGUUUAACUUAAUAUGUCCAGCUUUUUAGAGAAAACGGGUCAAAAUGAGCCGAACCCACUUUAAUACACUUACUAUGUCCAUUUUUUUAGUUUAACUUAAUAUGUCCAGCUUUUUAGAUUAAA